GAUGAACGCUGGCGGCGUGCCUAAUACAUGCAAGUCGAACGCUAAAGGAGGAGCUUGCUCUUCUGGAUGAGUUGCGAACGGGUGAGUAACGCGUAGGUAACCUGCCUGGUAGCGGGGGCUAACUGUUGGAAACGCUAGCUAAUACCGCAUGACAACAGUUCUUGCAUGAUAACUGUAUACAAGGGGCAACUGCUCCACUACCAGAUGGACCUGCGUUGUAUUGGCUAGUUGGUGGGGUAACGGCUCACACAGGCGACGAUUCAUAGCCGACCGGAGAGGGUGGUCGGCCACACGGGGACGCGGACGCGGCCCAUACGCCUGCGGGAGGGAGCAGUAGGGUACCGGCGGCAAUGGACGGAAGUCUGACCGAACAAGGCGGCGUGAGAGGAGAAGGUGUUCGGUGCGGAAAGCUCUGUUGUAAGUUGAGAACGGGUGUGAGAGGGGAAAGAGCACGCGGUGACGGUAUCUGACCAGAAAGGAACGGCUAACUACGUG
rnacentral:rRNA from 1 species